UACGUAGGGGGCAAGCGUUGUCCGGAUUUAUUGGGCGUAAAGAGCGUGUAGGCGGCCGCACAGGUCCGUUGUGAAAACUGGAGGCUUAACCUUCAGACGUCGAUGGAAACCGUGCGGCUAGAGUCCGGAAGAGGAGAAUGGAAUUCCUGGUGUAGCGGUGAAAUGCGCAGAUAUCAGGAAGAACACCCGUGGCUAAGGCGGUUCUCUAGGACGGUACUGACGCUGAGACGCGAAAGCGUGGGGAGCGAACAGG
rnacentral:rRNA from 1 species